UGCAGCUGCCUUGUUCCUUCUAUGUGAGACAAAGCAAGAAGUGAAUCACAGGCUUUUUGGACAGGGAGAGGGAGAGGGCAAGAUGUAGCUAUUAGUGUCUUCCAUUUAUAUGACACUGUUUCUGAGGGUGAUUUGAACUGUACAGACCUAGCCCAAGAGGUUUCAGUGGAGAAGAAUUUCAAUAUGUGACCUAGAGACUGUUUUUAUGGUAUUUUGGUGAAGAAUAUAGCUGCCUUUUGCCCUUGUCUGAAGCGUCUACCUGAGGCUAAUUGAUCGACUGGCAGCAGAAGAGAGACUGCCACACUGGGUGCAGCUUGAGCUUUUGGGACCUCAAAGCCCACCCCCUAGUAACACACUUUCUCUAACAACACCACACCUCCUACUACUGCCACUCCCUAUGGGCCUAUGGGGACCAUUUUUAUUCAAACCACAACCAUGGCUGUGAAGAAACAUAGAUUCACAUAUGAACUUACAGAGAGUAGGACAGAGUACACAGGCCUUUUGAAACUCAAGGCAAGCAAGCUGAGGAACCCAUGAAGAGCAAGUCGGAAAGUAUCUUUUGAUACAGAAGCCAGAAAUUCUUCCACGGUUGCUGCCUCUGUUCCUGCUUGAGUUCCUGCCCCGAUUUCCCUCAGGAAGGGCUCUGUAAUCACGAUGUGUAAAGCAAGCAACCCCAUUUCUCUCCAGUUUAAACCACCACCACCACAACAAGGUCCUAAAACCCACUUCACUCCAGCGGUCCUAUGCAUUACGAUAUUUGGCAUAGCGGUAGAAAGCCGGCCAAUCCAGUGAUGCAUCCAGAGAGGACAAAGAGGGACACCCCCUCUUCUCCACAUCUCACAGUGUAAACGUCUUUACUGAUGGGUUUUUAUAAUCAUAUAUCCUUCAUAAUAAACCGGUUCAGUUCCGUAGGCCCUGUUACAACAAAGGCUGCUCUCACAACAGAAAGUACAAGUAGGUGGUCAACUUCAGUGGCAGCUAGCUGUACAGUACCAUCUCAGCGGGCACACAAGAUAAACAAGUCUUCAGGGCAUGGCUACCUUCACCUGAAUGCCAAAGAAUGGCCAAGGGUGUCUCAGGACCCAGAAAGGGAACAGUGAAGGUGUAGACUUAAUUAGAGUCACACAGCCCACUCAGAUCAUGUCCAGUGGAGCCAUGGGCUCCAUGAGACCUCAGGACAGAAGGGCCAUUAGCGUAUCAUCCCACUGUGAAAGCUACAGGCAUACAAUAUCAACAGAGCCACAAAAAUCAACCCUGGGCGCAAGCCCACCAACCAAGAAGCUCUAGAAGGUGUGCCCUCUACUCUGGUGAUCCCAAGAGGCAGAGCCUUGAGACAAAGAUUGUUUUCCAGGUGAAAGACUUUGGACCUUCUGAGAAUGCUUGACUCCUGCCUUCUUGUCUGCUUCUCCCUUUGGACUGGGAAUGCCCAGCUCUUGACUGUCCUGUAAGUGUAGUCAGGACACCUAUAAAAUGUCUGGUUCCAUGGGUUCACAGCUGGAAAGCAAUGCACCCCAGGAUAAACAGCACCUCGUACUGUUAUCCAUGGCUGAUUAAGUGAUACUGAGAAAAGACCUCGGAUGGCUGGAAUGUGGGUCUGGAGUGCCUGUCACUGGACUGUUGCAAUCCUAACCUCAAGUGGACGAUAGGAGGAAUAAUGGGUCUCUUCUGGGAAGUGACGGAGAGUAGAGACAUCAUCCAUGAGAUCAGUAGAUGAUCAAAGGCCUGGAGCUGCUUGGUCACUUCCACUGUGUGCAGACACAGUGCAAAAGGAACUGUUUGUACACCAUGAAUUAACUUCUCACCAGCCAUGGAAUCUGACAGCACUGUGAUUUGACAUCCCAGCUGACAAAUCGAUCAGAAAUAAAUUCCCAUUUCUAAGCCACUCAGCCUAUUGGAUUUGGGAUUAUAGCAGCCCAAAGUGAUAUAAGACUGUCCCUGCUCCCUCCUCUGAAUGCUUGGCAGGUCACCCCACUACCAACUCAUACAGGGCUGUACCAUAAACAAGAAAUAAAUAUUUUUGUGUCAAACUA
rnacentral:lncRNA from 1 species